rnacentral:rRNA from 1 species
AGCGAACGCUGGCGGCAGGCCUAACACAUGCAAGUCGAACGAACUCUUCGGAGUUAGUGGCGGACGGGUGAGUAACACGUGGGAACGUGCCUUUUGGUUCGGAAUAACUCAGGGAAACUUGUGCUAAUACCGAAUGUGCCCUUCGGGGGAAAGAUUUAUCGCCAUUAGAGCGGCCCGCGUCUGAUUAGCUAGUUGGUGAGGUAACGGCUCACCAAGGCGACGAUCAGUAGCUGGUCUGAGAGGAUGACCAGCCACACUGGGACUGAGACACGGCCCAGACUCCUACGGGAGGCAGGAGUGGGGAAUCUUGCGCAAUGGGCGAAAGCCUGACGCAGCCAUGCCGCGUGAAUGAUGAAGGUCUUAGGAUUGUAAAAUUCUUUCACCGGGGACGAUAAUGACGGUACCCGGAGAAGAAGCCCCGGCUAACUUCGUG